rnacentral:misc_RNA from 1 species
GAAAUGCGAUAAGUAAUGUGAAUUGCAGAAUUCAGUGAAUCAUCGAAUCUUUGAACGCACCUUGCGCUCCUUGGUAUUCCUUGGAGCAUGCCUGUUUGAGUAUCGUGAAAUCUUCAAAGUAAAUCUUUUGUUAACUCAAUUGGUUUCUACUUUGGUAUUGGAGGUCUUUGCAGCUUCACACCUGCUCCUCUUUGUUCAUUAGCUGGAUCUCAGUGUUAUGCUUGGUUCCACUCGGCGUGAUAAGUUAUCUAUCGCUGAGGACACUGUAAAAGGUGGCCAAGGUAAAUGCAGAUGAACCGCUUCUAAUAGUCCAUUGACUUGGACAAUACUUUUAUGAUCCGAUCUCAAAUCAGGUAGGACUACCCGCUGAACUUAAGC